AAUAACCUUCUUUGCCUCAGUUUUAAUUGCUCCUCAAAAAAUAGGGUAUUUGGGUGGGAGAGAGGGGAAACUGGGUGAUGGGCAUUGAGGAGGGCACUUGUUGGGAUGAGUACUGGGUGUUGUAUGUAAGCCAAUUUGACAAUUAAUUAUAUUUUUUAAACAACAGGGUUUUUGUUAUGUAUUAUAUACGUUAAUAUACAUGUAUUUGGUACUAGUGUGUUUGCUACCGUUUUUAAAGACUGGCUCACCAGUGUACCAUAAAGUGAUCCACAUGUUGCUGGGCACAUAGUAGGAGUUUAGUAAAUAUCUGUUAAUCAUUGAAUACUGAAACCAGCUUUUUCUAAUGGAUUAUCCAAGUUUCUCGUGCUUUACUGACGAUUCUCUGUGGAAGCACAAAAUAGUUCUUCACCAUCAUGACCUAUAUGCUAGUCUGCUAGUUACCUCUUUCAGAGGCCCUGGGAAAUCACAUUUACUUUGGUAAGCCCCUAGAGUACCGUGCUCUGCCUUGAAAAGCUACUUCCUAACUGUCCCUUCCACCCCCACCCUGAGGGUGCAGCCUCAGUGAGCACUCUGGUCACCAGGAUGUGAAAUGCAGUCAAAGAAUAGAGGGGGGAGGGAGGCAGUGAGAGAGUAGAUGGGCACUCAUGACAGACUGUCUCCUUUUGCCUUACUCUUUAUACCCUUAUUAAUCUGGGAGUCCUCUCGCCUCAUGUCCUUUCUGGAACAAAGCAGGGUCUAAAUAAAAUGUCAACAAUGUUUUUCUAUUCUACCUACUUCUCUAGCUUCCCAGGUUAUUUUGAAAUCUGAUCUGAUUCUUGGAGGCCAAGACUCACUGAUUAGGACAUUUGAUGAGCUUUGUCCUUUCAUCUCAUCUGAAUCCCUAGAAGUAGGCCCAGGGUAAACAUUUGACCAUUCUUGGCCUCAGGUGUGGAAAUUUGGUGUUAAGGGCUGAAUUUUGUCUCCCCUCCAAAUUCGCGUGUUGAAGUCCUAACCCACAGCACCUCAGAAUGUGUCUACAGACACAUUGGAGAUGGGGCCUUUAAAUAGGUAAUCAUGUUAAAAUGAGGUUCUUAGGAUGGGCCCUAAUCCAGUAUGACUGAUGUCGUUAUAAGAAAAGGGAAGCCAAGAAGACAGGCCUCAGGAGAAACCAAAGCUGUGGACACCUUGACCUUGGACUUCUCACCUCCAGAACUGUGAGGAAAUACAUUUCUGUUUUUAAGCCACCCAGUCUGGGGUACUUUGCAGCUUUAGCAAAUUGAUACAAUUGGGAGUUAAAGAGGUUCAUCACCACACUUAGGGCUACAGAGAGCUUUUCUCAGCUAAGAGGCCUUGUAGAAGGCCAUAGGGAGUCUGACUCUUCAGGAUGCAACAACAGAGCCAACACUCUGUCUACCGCCCAGCUCCCUGCCAAGCUGUGUGUGUGUGUGGGGGGGGGGGUCACUUAUGCAAUAAUCAAAGUCAACCAACCCCACAACUUCUCACUAAAUUAAGUCAGACAGGUGAUUACCAACACAUGCUCUGUAUUUAAAUAUCACCCAAUGUUCUAUGCAUGGCUCCACAACAAAGAACCAUUCUUGGAGACCUUGCAAAACUCUGUUCCAGCAGAAUUGUCUAUAAAAAACAUCCUCUGAAGGUUAUCUCUCCUCAUUUACUUCCACUGUAAAACUGGAGAUGCUUUUUCUUACUCUGGAAAAAACUUCCAGGUCAUCAUUCCCACUGAGGAAGCGGUCAAUGGGGUCAUUACCCCUCCUGCUGAGUGUGACCUUGUACCAGAUAAGCGCUGAGAAUUCACCAGGUGUGCUGGCUUUCAGAAUUUUGCAAAGUUUUUCUGGAACCCCUGUUUCCUCUUUGCUGUGCUCUCCACUCACUGCUUAUUUCCAUGCUAUGUCUGUCGGUCUUACUACUGUGGAUCCUGGAGAUCUACAACAAAGCUUCAUGAAAUUGUACUUCAAUUUCUGUUAACCUAACUUUAACCUGUUAACUUUCAUUCUGUUAACCUAACCUUAACCUGCAAGACCUCAGUCUUGUAAAAUAAAUGUCCAAUAUUUCCAGUUCCAUGCACCUGAAAUUCUGCAUGAGGAAGUUCAUGACAUUGAUGAUUCUAGCAGAGUAGAUGAGAUUUCACAACCCAUGGACCCAGAGGUAUUACGUGCAACUCUCUUUAUUUCCCCAUAACUGGAUUCCCUCUCUAGCUUCCUCCCCUACCCGAUGGCAGAAAAGUUACUUCCAGGACAAUUCAGACAUGUCCGAGUUUUCAGACUUUUUCAAGUUCACAAUUCAAUUAAUUCAGCUUUGAGCUCUCCCUGCUUUCCCUAGGUGGGUCCAUACAAAGGGGGCUCAGCCGUGGGAGAGGACUCUUGCCCUUUGAACCUCUCUCUGUCUUAUGCUAGCUGAUGCUGAUAUGAGACCUGCUCCAUCCAGGCCACUAUGAUGAUUCCUUCCUUUGACAGCCUCGGCCAUCCUAAUCUGGGGUAUUGACAGACCGUACUAGUUUUUUUCCUUAACCCCCAGGUCCCUUCGGGUCUCGGGCAACCCCUCUCCGGGGCACUGGCGCUAUGGGAUGCUCCCCAGGGGACGUUCCCAGCCUGGUCUUUCCAGUUUGGACAUUUUCCCCUUUACUGGCUCACCCUCCCCCAAGCUGGUGUCGUGUGGAAGGAAAUCAGGUCCGUGCACGCUUCCCCGGUCCUGCCAGGAAGGGGCCCAGGCUUCCUAAAGUUUUCCAGGAAAAGUCCUCCUCCCCCGCUACCCCCCAGCUCCGCCCUUCUGCGGGAGGGGGCAGCGUGGCUGGCUUUAAGCUUUAACUCUUCCGUCACAGCAGCGCUCCUUCAGUGUCUCACGCCAUCCGGAUCUCCGAUCUCCCGGGGAGGAGGCGGUGGUGGGAGGGACACAACCUCUGCCUCAUCAUAUCUUUUUCAAAAUUUGUAUUUUCUUCGUCAGCACUGACCAAAUGGGCAUGCUUUGUUCUGAGUUCUUCUCCUGGAGGGUCCGUGACAAAUCUGAAUACGUCCAAGGAAACAAUUGGGUCAAGGAAGGAGGAAAAACCUCUCAGCAUGGUGGAGAAUGAGGUAACAUGAAGAAGUCUCAGGAAAAGAGAUUGGAACAGAAGUGGAUUUGCUAUGGCUUUCGUGGAAUAGAAGCUUCUGGGCCCCCCACCUGCACUAUCUUCUUUGAAGACUUCCACCUAAUAUCACGUUCAUCAUUGUUAUUCUUUUUUUUCUGAAGGAGAGCCCUCCCCCCCACCCCAAGUUGAAUAAGAUCAGCUCCACUAAUUCUGGAUCCACCCCUGAGCUAGAAUUAAUCUACAUAAUUCCUUGGGACAAAACUAGGAUUAAUAGUAGAAAGUUACAGUGAGGCAAACAUUGCUCAAGAUCUGGAAAUUCUCCCAGUUAGAGCUAUUAAAAAUUGGGAUGGGCUGCAGAAAACCAGAAAGUGCGUCAUUGGAUGCCUUGGGUAGAAGCAAAUGAGGCAGGGGUGUUGUAAGAGGGGCUGAUGAUCUCUCCCAACUCUAGGAAUCAAAGUCUCUGAGAUAAGCUACAGAGAGGGCACUGAGACAGCAUUUGCUUGCCUAUGUAUUAAUAGUAGGGACCCCAAGUCCAAUAGCAGGGACCCCCAAGUCCAGGCACGUAUAGUUUGCUAGGUUUAAGUCACUGUAUUAAAAAAAAAGUAAUAAAAAUAUUCAGAAGCA